UCGAGGAUCAUUCGCAAUGCGCGAAAGCGUGACGGUGCGACGCCGCGUGCAGGAUGAAGGCCUUCGGGUCGUAAACUGCUGUCAUGAGGGAACAAUGUCCGGAAUGUUAACACCAUUUCGGGGUGAUAGUACCUCAAGAGGAAGCCACGGCUAACUCUGUGCCAGCAGCCGCGGUAAUACAGAGGCGGCGAGCGUUGUUCGGAUUUAUUGGGCGUAAAGGGUGCGUAGGUGGCGGGGCAAGUUUGAUGUGAAAUCUCCGAGCUCAACUCGGAAACGGCAUUAAAUACUGCUUUGCUUGAAGGUCGGAGGGGAGACUGGAACUCUCGGUGUAGCGGUGAAAUGCGUAGAUAUCGAGAGGAACACCGGUGGCGAAAGCGAGUCUCUGGACGAUUCUUGACACUGAGGCACGAAAGCUAGGGGAGCAAACA
rnacentral:rRNA from 1 species